rnacentral:rRNA from 1 species
GCACAAGCAGCGGAGCGUGUGGUUUAAUUCGAUGUUACACGAAGAACCUUACCAGGGUUUGACAUGCAAGUGGUAGGAAGCCGAAAGGUGACCCGACCCUUCGGGGAGCUUGCACAGGUGCUGCAUGGCUGUCGUCAGCUCGUGUCGUGAGAUGUUGGGUUAAGUCCCGCAACGAGCGCAACCCUCGCCUUUAGUUGCCAGCAUUCAGUUGGGCACUCUAAAGGGACUGCCGGUGUCAAACCGGAGGAAGGUGGGAUGACGUCAAGUCCUCAUGGCCUUUAUGUCUAGGGCUACACACGUACUACAAUGGCAGGUACAAAGGGCAGCGACACAGCGAUGUGAUGCGAAUCCCGAAAAGCCUGUCUCAGUCCGGAUCGGAGUCUGCAACUCGACUCCGUGAAGUUGGAAUCGCUAGUAAUCGUGGAUCAGCAUGCCACGGUGAAUACGUUCCCGGGCCUU